AUCCCAUGGUGUGAACAUUGAUAUAAAAGAUUUAAGAAUCUAUCCCAUGCUUGGCAUAACGUUUCCGCUUCCUUCUGUUCGAAAUGCAAGAUUUGAUUCCUAAGUAG